rnacentral:tRNA from 2 species
GUCUCCUUAGUCAAAGGGAGAAGACAUUGCCCUUUCGAGGCAAAGGUACGGGUUCGAGUCCCGUAGGGGACG